GCGGUCGUGGCGGAAUGGUAGACGCGCUGGCUUGAGGGGCCAGUCGAGAUAUUCUCGGUGGAAGUUCAACUCUUCUCGGCCGCA
rnacentral:tRNA from 1 species